AUUGAACGCUGGCGGCAGGCCUAACACAUGCAAGUCGAGCGGAUGAGAGGAGCUUGCUCUUCGAUUCAGCGGCGGACGGGUGAGUAAUGCCUAGGAAUCUGCCUAGUAGUGGGGGACAACGUUUCGAAAGGAACGCUAAUACCGCAUACGUCCUACGGGAGAAAGUGGGGGAUCUUCGGACCUCACGCUAUUAGAUGAGCCUAGGUCGGAUUAGCUAGUUGGUAGGGUAAAGGCCUACCAAGGCGACGAUCCGUAACUGGUCUGAGAGGAUGAUCAGUCACACUGGAACUGAGACACGGUCCAGACUCCUACGGGAGGCAGCAGUGGGGAAUAUUGGACAAUGGGCGAAAGCCUGAUCCAGCCAUGCCGCGUGUGUGAAGAAGGCCCUCGGGUCGUAAAGCACUUUAAGUUGGGAGGAAGGGCUUACAGCGAAUA
rnacentral:rRNA from 1 species